AGAGGCUGCCGUGUCAUCGCUGCUGGGGACGCGCUCUCGUGGUCUCGGUGGCUGGGGAUAUUCGGUGGCUCUCGUCAGCGACCGGCCGAGCCCCCUGCCCGCCCCGCCAGGGCUCUGCUCGGGGGGUCCCUACUCUGGGAGUCCCUCCUCUGAACACGGGCGACCUCCGGGCACAGAGAGAUUCCCGCAGAAGCCCCGGGACGGCGCUCCCAGACAUUGUCGCAACUUCCCGUCAGGUCUGUAGCUGUGUUCAUCCGGGCCCCACAGCUCACGCGUGACAUCUGCCACCCGGGACACGUCCCGCCGGUGUCUCGGGGUGUCCGCGCUGGUUCCCCGGGUGGGCUGGUAGCUCCCGACCGUGAUCUUGUGCAGGGAACGCGGCUGUUUCCAUAGCAACGAGCUGCCCAAACUGCCCCUCAGUGGGACCCCCACUGGCCACGCUCCAGCCUGCGGCCAUGAACACGGGGGUCCCUUGGUCGCUGCCCAGGAGAGGCAGCCGGCCCGGACGUUCCUGGUACCGAGAGGACUCGCAGUCUUCCAGAGUGCCCUGAGCUUUCCAGUCCCCUGUGGGACAGGGCAGCGGGACACUUGGGCAAGCGAUGGCUGCAUCGGUCCCGAGAGCACCCGCAGGCAGAAGAGAGAGCUGGACCCCUUCCCCUCACUGCCCUCCUGGGUGCCCACGUGCUGUGCCAGCAUGCAGGACCUUCUCACCGUGUGAGCGCUGGGUCAUUAGGGCUGAGAAUGACCCAACUCGUAACAGGAAUGCUGCCAAACGACCUCCAGAUGGUAACGGCUCUUGGAUUCAAACCAGCGCUCCAGAGGCAGAUUUAACUGCUGCACAUAACAACCUGUAUCAACAACACACGGAAAAAAUGUCCUAUGAAGAACAGGCCUGAAACGAUCCCUUCCUCUGCCAGACCUCGUUCCUGGACUCAGUGGAAGGUCACCAGCAGGCUGAGGACCCUCAGAACCAUUCCUGAAAUGGGUAAGUGCAGCUGCCACCACAGGGGCUGUCUGGCCACAUAUCCAUGGUGAGCAGCUCAUGGUCUGGCCAUGGGUGCACCACCCACACAAGCCACAGCAGCUACAUCCAUGACAAUUCAUCCCCUCUGUUAUUAUGACUUCUCUGGAAGGAUUACAGUUUCUCAAGAUACUGCUCUGGCCAAGCACUUCUCCUCUCGCACUGUGAAAUGGCACAGUCCCUUCCUGUUAGUUGUGGCUGUUUCAGACUUUCAAAGGAUUAACCUUUCCCAUCUAAAUGAGAAGAAAAGGGAAGAAAUGACUCACAGCCUCUCCCCAU